rnacentral:rRNA from 1 species
GAUCAUGGCUCAGGAUGAACGCUAGCUACAGGCUUAACACAUGCAAGUCGAGGGGCAGCACAAGGCAGCAAUGCUGAGGUGGCGACCGGCGCACGGGUGCGUAACGCGUAUCCAACCUUCCCGUUACUCAUGGAUAGCCUUCCGAAAGGGAGAUUAAUACCUGAUGGUGUUCAAAUUCCGCAUGUUAUUUGAACUAAAGAUUUAUCGGUAACGGAUGGGGAUGCGUGACAUUAGAUAGUAGGCGGGGUAACGGCCCACCUAGUCUACGAUGUCUAGGGGUUCUGAGAGGAAGGUCCCCCACACUGGAACUGAGACACGGUCCAGACUCCUACGGGAGGCAGCAGUGAGGAAUAUUGGUCAAUGGUCGGAAGACUGAACCAGCCAAGUAGCGUGAAGGAUGAAGGUUCUAUGGAUUGUAAACUUCUUUUAUACGGGAAUAAAACCUCCCACGUGUGGGAGCUUGUAUGUACCGUAUGAAUAAGCAUCGGCUAACUCCGUG